ACCUGAGCCAAAGGCAGAUGCUAAACGACUGAGCUACCCAGAUAUUCCACUAUAAUGAAUUCUUGGGAUCUCGAGUGGGGAGAGAAGAGGAAGAAGCAUAUGUGAAUUAGAACAUCAGAGAAAGGUGUGGACUGUAGGCCCUCCAAACAGGAGCUGAUAGAGAAGAACCAAGUAUAAUGUCCAGUGUGCUAGUCAAUUUCCUGGAGCAAGAAUGAAGAUAUCGGGUUCCCAUCAUUGGGAAACGUUAGAUUUUAUUUAUUUAACAGAGAGAGACUAAGAGUGUGC